rnacentral:rRNA from 1 species
GACGAACGCUGGCGGCGUGCUUAACACAUGCAAGUCGAACGGAAAGGCCCUGCUUUUGUGGGGUGCUCGAGUGGCGAACGGGUGAGUAACACGUGAGUAACCUGCCCUUGACUUUGGGAUAACUUCAGGAAACUGGGGCUAAUACCGGAUAGGAGCUCCUGCUGAAUGGUGGGGGUUGGAAAGUUUCGGCGGUUGGGGAUGGACUCGCGGCUUAUCAGCUUGUUGGUGGGGUAGUGGCUUACCAAGGCUUUGACGGGUAGCCGGCCUGAGAGGGUGACCGGCCACAUUGGGACUGAGAUACGGCCCAGACUCCUACGGGAGACAGCAGUGGGGAAUAUUGCACAAUGGGCGGAAGCCUGAUGCAGCAACGCCGCGUGCGGGAUGACGGCCUUCGGGUUGUAAACCGCUUUCGCCUGUGACGAAGCGUGAGUGACGGUAAUGGGUAAAGAAGCACCGGCUAACUACGUG